rnacentral:rRNA from 1 species
UACGUAGGGUGCAAGCGUUGUCCGGAAUUAUUGGGCGUAAAGAGCUCGUAGGCGGUUUGUCGCGUCGAAUGUGAAAACCCGGGGCUCAACCCCGGGCCUGCAUUCGAUACGGGCAGACUAGAGUUCGGUAGGGGAGACUGGAAUUCCGGGUGUAGCGGUGGAAUGCGUAGAGAUCCGGAAGAACACCGGUGGCGAAGGCGGUCUGCUGGGCCAAGACUGACGCUGAGGCGCGACAGCGUGGGGAGCAAACAGG